GGAUCCAGAGAACCGAACCGGAAAAAGGUUUUUGGUUUGGUUCUAGAUAACAAAACGAAUCUCAGUCAGACUAUCCGUAGAUAUCGGGUAGAUAUGGAGAUACAGUGUCUGUCCUCUCUCUGAUUUUUUCUGUAUUUUUCUAUUUUUUAAUUUUUUAAUUGUUGGGUAAGAGUUCCACGAUGGAAGGUGAAGUGAGUCAACGAUGAAAAGAUUGCUGCCGCCGGAGCUUCUCGUCCUUCGUCGUCGACCCGGUUAAGUGAGGUAGUGUGCGCUUUGAUUUCGUUCUCAAUCAUGGCUGCUAAUAAAACGCAAGGUUGGAG
rnacentral:lncRNA from 1 species